rnacentral:antisense_RNA from 1 species
CUUGAUGGUGGCUGUGUGCAUGGCACCCUCGGGUGCGCCGGGUUUGAGGGAGUUACCGGUCUACUAACUUGCGCACAGCUACCACCCCU